CACAGAUGUGACGCACCCCUUGUCAUGAAGAGGAGCAUCUGGACAUACUGUUUUUGGCUGGUCACGCUGGGAAAUUGUUGAUUGUGAACAAGCCCAUGCCACUGUCAGUUUGGGGAGAGGAAGGGGCACCACCUAUCCAUCACCUGACUGCAAAAAAUAUUUGUAUUCUUAAAGUACUGUAAGCCUCACUGUUGUUUCUUUUAUCUGUGGCAAGGUUCCACAACCGCUCCUCCAUGUGAAUCAGAUAUUGCAUGCAAACUUGGAUGGCAUGUAAAUCAGAUAUUAACAGGUGGCACUUGGUGGUAGAGUGCUAGCUGAGCAGGCCAGAGACGGAAUCACAGGUGUGCAAAAUUAAAGGGAUUGGAAAGGACCUCUGGAGAUCAUCUUGUCCAACCCCCUGCUAAAGAACGUUC